rnacentral:lncRNA from 1 species
CGUGCACGAGUGAUAACGACCAAGGUGAUUGCCCAUAUUUCAAUUUUGGAUGACAUAUAUGAUGUCUAUAGCACAUUGGAGGAGAGCCAACGACUAACUGAGGCAAUUCAAAGGUUCGCAAAUCUUAUAUCAAUGGACAUAUUACCUUUUACUAUCAUUGUGUAUAGCAAAAUAACAACAUGUAUGUUUAUGUUCUAAUUUUCUAAAGAUGGUGAAACUAAUAUAUAUGCAGGUGGGAUGCGAAGGUUGUUCAUCAAUUACCAGAGUACAUGAAAGAUUAUUAUCUAAAGCUAAUGCACACCUUUAAAGAGUUUGAAGAUUUAUUGGCUUCCAAUGAGAAAUAUCGCAUAACCUAUCUAAAGGAAGCGGUGAGUGAUGAGAUUAUAAGGUUCAUCUUAUUUUCACUUUUAUUAAUUUGCAUUACAUAAGUAAUAAAUGAAUACACUAAUAGCCAAUGCAAAGAAUAAGCGUUUGAGAUGCGACAGUAUUAAACUUAGAUUGUAUACUACUCAUGCAUUACAAACAUUAAGGAAUGGUUUUGUUUUACUUGGGUACAGAUGAAAGAUUUAUCUGAAGCUUAUUUUGAGGAAUCCAAAUGGAGAGAUCAACAUUACAUACCAACUUUGGAAGAACAUCUACAAGUUUCCCUCAUAAGUUCAGCAUAUCCUAUGCUCGAAUGUGCUUCUUUUGUUGGAAUGGGAGAAAUAGCAACUAAGGAGGCGUUUGAGUGGAUUACUAGUUUCCCAAAGAUUGUCCAAGCUUCUGCAAUAAUUGGUCGUAUCAUGAAUGACAUUACUUCACAUGAGGUAUAUUCAUAAUAUAAUCUCCUGUGUUUUAUAUCAUAUAAACAUUUUUCAUAGUAAAUUUUGCACUGAUAUCUCUCGUAGUAGAAAUAUGAUGACAUAAAAAAAGAAAAUAACAUACAUUCUCCAAUUAGAUGAGAAAGACCAUAAUUGAGGUUUAAUAGGUAAUCUCCAAAGGUUGUCUUCAAUAUUCCUUCUAUUUAUCACCUCGAAAGCAUUUCUUGUGUCACUCAAUUGCAUUAUCAAUGUUUUGCUGAACUUAACAUGAUUUUACAUUAAGAAAUCUAGUACAAACAAAAAAACUCUCGUUCGUAAGCUUCCACAUCUGUAGAUUCCCAAAUUCCUUUCAUGUACACCUUAUUAUUGAUAAUAGUCUAUCAAUUUGUUUUAAUAUAAUAAACAUGUAAAUCCUGAAAGGAUCCCUUAGAAUUCAGUUUGUAGACCAUUAAUCCUCUUUUUUCAUGAAAUUUGCAGUUGGAACAAACUAGGGAACAUGUUGCCUCCACGGUCCAUUGCUACAUGAAAGAAUACGGAACAAAUGUGCAUACGGCAUGUAAGAAGCUCCAAGUUCUAGUUGACGAUGCAUGGAAGGAUAUAAAUGAAGAGUGCUUUAAUCAAACUACAUUCCCCAUUGCUUUACUCCAAAGGAUUGUUAAUUUUGCACGAAUGAUUGAAAUUUUAUAUAAGUACAUCGAUGGAUACACCAACUCCUCUACGAAGACAAAGGAAUAUAUCUCUUUGUUACUUGUGCAUCCUGUUCCACUUUGAUUGUAUGACGAUGCUUGCUUCUUCCAUGAAUCCUUUAUUCUGAAAUAUAUGUAAGCCUUUGUAAAUGAACAUGGACUGUACUAUGCUUGCUUUUUCUAUGAAUCCUUUAUUCUGAAAUAUAUGUAAGCCUUUGUAAAUGAACGUGUAUUGUACUAUGCUUGCUUCUUCUAUGAAUCCUUUAUUCUGAAAUAUAUGUAAGUCUUUGUAAAUGAAUGUGUAUUGUACUAUGCUUGCUUCUUUUAUGAAUCUAUGUAAGCCUUUGUAAAUGAAUGUGUAUUGUACUAGCCCUGGGAAGCUCAAGCCAGUAUUAUCUAUGGAAAAUAAAAAUCUUUGCUUAACAGUAGUUCAAAGCAAUUUGCAAGUUGCUGGUAUGUGUUACAAAAUUAUAUUAGCUAGUUGCAAUUUUCACUCUUUUCAGUCUUGCCAACUUGAGAAAGGCUCUUGAAGCUGCUAUGCUAAAUAGAGUGUCAGGAUGGUGAGGUUGGGUUUUGUAGAUGCCUACAUCAGAUAUCAAGAUACUUCUUAGUUAAGUUUGGGAUGAUUACAAUUCGGAAACAUAUAUAUUCAAGCUACAUUUUGGAUAAGUUAGUGAUAUCAUAUGUUGGACAUAAUUCAUGCACCAUGCUAUCAGAAGAUUUGGCCUUGUCAUUAGAGAAAACAAAUUCUACUAUCUUAUGAAAAAUCUUGUAAGCAGAACAAGCAAUGGGGUUGAAAACAAGAUCAUUCGUAGCCCUCCAUAUUCACCAAAGACCAAUAUCAUUUAGAACCCACAAGGUUUGACCACCAGAAUUGGGACACUGCACCCCCUCAUUAAAAAUUGAAUAUCUAGUUAAUAUUUAAAGAGUUGCCAUAAUUUAAUAGGAAAGACGCACAGAAAGAAGUGAAUAAUGGUUUCGGCUUUAGACUGACAAAAGGGACAAGUAGUAGCAUUAUUGCACACUCUUAGUUGAGAUGAUCAAUGAGAGGUGGCGGUGCAAAAGUUUCCAACAAAGAAAUUUAACGUGAGGCAACACGGGAAGCUUCCACAAACAAUACAACUAGUCCACGUUAGGAUCAACCAUCCCAACUGAGAAGCAAGAAAAUGAUAGGCAGACUUAGCAGAACAAACCCUCUUAUUAUCUAGCUUCUAAAACUAAAAAUGAUCAUGUCAUAUAUGGAUUAACAAUGAGAUUAGAACCACCAAAGAUCUAUCACUAGCAUGUAUAUUGCUGAAAGCAUGUAUGAAUGGACUACGAGAAUCUAAAAUAUAGUUAUCUUUGAAAACAUCAAUAAUAGAAAUAUCACCAAAAAAUUUAGUGAACUCUCCUCUUAAACUUUCAAGAGCGAGAAGAAACAAACCCGAUUCUAGCUUUGCCAUAAUAAUUUUGAAUAUUCCAAGGAUAAAUCACAGCAUAUUUAGUUCUAACCAUUUUAUCUCAUAUACUAUCAAUGAUGGAACGAUAUUGGCCUCUGUUGAGCUUGAAGUGUAUAUUUCAUAAGAAAGGUUCUCAGUCCCAAGACGUAGCAUAUUUAGAAAGAAUUAUCCCUAUCCCAAUCCCAUGAUAGAAUGUGCAUACCCUUGGAAGAACCACAAUCGACCCAGAAAGUAAUCCCAUGAUAGAAUGUGCAUACCCUUGGAAGAACCACAAUCGACCCAGAAAGUAUCUAGGAUUGCUAAUAAUAUUAUUCAAAAUAUCAUUAUCCAUCCAAGAGUCGCUUAAGCUGCAUCUUUUGGUUCAAAUCACUCGUCUUGUGGUCAUGCUAUGUGAUAGGGAUAAUAUUUGUUCCGAUACAUACUUACACAUGUGACAGCUCAGCAUGGGUUAAACCCAUUAUAGAAAGCCCUCCAUACAAGAAGAAAUCAAAGUCAAUGACUAUUCACUAGGAUUACUCCAUACUUAUAGGUAAAUAGUUUGAGUGUCAAAAGGAUCAGUCGAGAAAUCCAUCCAACUUUAAUCUUCGUCUUCGUACAAAUUGAUCAGGAAGCAUGCAUUCGAAUCCACAUUAGGACUUGAGGAGCGUCCAAGUCUUUCGUCAACCAACUUAGACCUUUGAAAUGCCCACAGUUACUGCCACAGGCGAAGCCGGAUUUGUGCUAGUCUCAUCAAAUGGACCAUGGCAUCACAAUUCGGAUUUGUUGCCAAUGAGUCACUCAAACCAAAUAUGGAACAAUUGAUGUGGCAGAUAAAAAAACAUGAAUAACGGAGAGCGACACAAGAGGCAAUAAAACACAAAAAUACCUGCACAUUUGGAAUCCUUACGUCUCUUCAUAUCUUAUGUCGAUGGCACCCAUGCAUGGAAACCAAUUGGCAUUUGUAACGCUUACGUCUCUUCAUAUUUUUUGUAACAUGCGUCUCCUUUACAACAUCAAUGCCACCUUGAUCAAAGAUUAUAGACCGAGGCAACAAAUCUAUUUUUAUUUAAAUAUUUUAAAUAUAAUUUAAGCACAUAAGAUGAAUACGUAUCUAUUUUUAAUUUAUUUGAAUUUGAUUAUGUAUACUGAUCUUCCAGAUCUCAUAUUUUAAAUUACCAAUAUGGGAUCAGUAUACAUAAUCUUAUCUUUAAAUAUUUAAGUCUAACUAAUUAUUAUUUGAAUAUUCAAAUUGGAUUUGAGAACAUAUAUUUUUUUUAUCAAGAUCCAAUUGAUCCCAUUGCUAAAUCACAAUUGAGUUAUAGAGCAUGAGAGAUAUACUUGUUUAUUGGAAGUUAAAGCAUUAUUAAUGGAACAUCACUUGGAAUACGACCUCAAAGAAUUUAACCCUAUAGAUUGCAAACUAGGCCAGGCUGUUGCCAUUGCAACGGGGGCCAUGUAUGUAAUGCAGCCUUUUUUAAUUACAGGAAAUUGACAGACGAUUGAUGGAUGACAAGGAGGAGCAUAGCCUCCACAAAGUGAACAUGCUGUUGCCAUGGGAGUAUACUUUGAUUUGUGAAUGACUUGAAGGUGGUGGAAUGAUUUAGCUCCCUCAAAAAAUCUCAAUUUUGCUCGAGAUAGAUCGGUGGAAUGCUACUUCUGGAUCCUGGGAGUAUUCUUUGAACUUUACUAUUCUCGUGCACGAGUGAUAAUGACCAAGGUGAUUGCCCUUAUUUCAAUUCUGGAUGACAUAUAUGAUGUCUAUAGCAUAUUGGAGAAGAGUCAACAACUCGCCAAGGUAAUACAAAGGUUCGCAAAUCUCAUAUCGAUGGACAGAUUAACUUUUACUAUCAUGGCUCAUCAUAUGAUAACAAAAGGUGCCACUUAUAAUAUCACAUAAGAAAAUAAAAUAUCGCAUAAUAGUUUUACUCGUCGUGUAUAGCAAAAUAACAUCUAUGUUUAUGUUAUGUUUUUCUAAAGACGGUGAAACUAAUACAGAUGCAGGUGGGACGCAAAGGUUGUUCAUCAAUUAUCAGAGUAUAUUAAGGAUUAUUAUCUAAAUCUAAUCCACACCUUUGAAGAGUUUGAAGAUUUAUUGACUUCUAGUGAGAAAUAUCACAUAACCUAUCUAAAGGAAGCGAUGAG